GCCAUCCUUUCCUUGGGGUGAAAGGCUUCUCUUCAGGUCCCCUCCACCCGCCUUUUUGCCACCUUUUGAAAUUUUUUCCAGCCUCAAUCAAAAGCCCCGUCCUGUUAUCUGUAGCAGAAAAGGAACUGCCAAGCCUCUGACUCAUGCUAACUGUGUGGUGUGGGCAAGGUACUUAACCUCCCCGAGAGUCACCUCAAGCAAUUGUGAAAGAGUUAAUAAUACCUCAUUUAAUUUUUCUGCGGAAGAAAUAAUAUAAGGUUCAUUUCCCCCCGAAGAGCAGGUAGCCGGGUGUUUGCCAACGACACCCUUCCAUCAAAAGGGAGCAUCUGAAGAGCUGACAUCCCCUCAUGGGAUGACCGAGCUGCGUUUCUGCGUUGGGUCCUCAUGCCCCCACGAAGAGGAAGUGGUAUUUCAGGGAUGGCAGAUGACAACGUGACAUCACCCACCUCCGUCAGCGCUCAUUUCGUUUCUUCAAUUUCAACAAGGAGAUGAUGGCAAAGCUUCAGGCCAAUGAUGGGGCUCCCAUGCACCUGCCUCACUGGACGAAUGACAGAGGAUGAAGGCCCCAGAAGAACAACUCAUGUCGACAGAGUGGAGGAACGAAGGCCUUGUUCUGUGGCUCCAGAAAUUCAGUUGUUCCCUUUCAACCCAAUUAUCUGCCAAAGAGACCCAGCUGUGGUAUAGUAAAAACAAGACUGAGAGUCCAGCCUCUGAAGAAGCCGUUCUUCGGAUGCACCCCCUCCAAUGGCGGCAGUGGAAAUCUACCCCAACUUGCCAAGGCAUGAUCUGCCUAGGCAGCCUGCUUCUUUGGGACUGACCCAGUGACUGUUUGACCACAAAAUCCUUGGUAAAAGGAAUUGAAAAUUCUUGCUUCUGAUCAACAAGCUUCCCCUGCCAUGCAAAUUAGGACACGUCCAUAGGACAAAUUACCACACAGUGGAGUCUCAUGUCCUCAGACCGGAAGCCACACCUACCUCAGAGACGCUGCCCUCCCUCUGCUGUGACACCUCUGGAUUGUGGGCCCGUCUGGUGAGCCAAGCACGCACACACGGAGAAGGCAACUGAGCAGGGCCCACACUCCUACCAGGACCAAGCCCGACUCUUGAGGGUACAGGGUGGGCACUUAAUGAAGGUUUGAUGAAUGAACGAACAAAUGAAUGCAUGAAUGAUCCCUGCAAAAAGAGGGCCUUUCCAUUUCAAAAACUCUAAAGUCCAGGUGAAUAUGCUGAGGGACUAUAAGAACACAGAGGUGUGACUGCAGACCUACAGUCAAUAAUCCUAAAAAACACACAAAGAAUAAGAGAAGACGGGAGAUAGGAAAAUGUACCCAUUUCCAAAAGUAGAGGGAAUGUGGAGUCUGAAAACUACAGACAAAAAUAUAAAAAGCUAUGAGUGUGAGAAAAGAAAGCGGCCACACCAGUCCGUUCACAAAAACAUGCCGUGCACAGGAAGCUCACGCAGGCCCCCACUCCUGACUCUUCAAGUUCUGCGUAGGUCCACCAGCUCACUCGGAAUCCCUCACUUAGAGGUCGAACCUCCUCAGACUUGCUGCUCUAUUCCUGAAGAGGAAGAUUUUCUCCUUCUGCUUAACACCGUGGAGGUCACCGCUUCCAGCAAACUUCAGAAUUU
rnacentral:lncRNA from 1 species